AGGUUUGCCUAAAUAUUUAAAUGUUUGUGUUUAAUUUUAAUCUCUUUUCCCCUUCUUUAACAGAUUUCGGACUCUGAAUUAGCAAUGUAUGAAUGAUUUAUUUCAUCCGAUUCUUUGCCAUUUUGUGUGCUUAUGUUUUAAGACUACCAGAUGUGAAAAAUCCAAAUUUUAAUAAUGAUCAAUUUUGUCAUAGUUUGCUAAUUCCGAAUUUUGAAAUUAUCCAUCUUCUUCGAAUUAGUUGACAAAUUUCUCGGCUCGUGAUUAUAACGGAGAACAUUUGACUGCGUAUUAUAUUUUUAUGGUUGGAUUGAUCUUGUGAUAAUUUGAAUAAGAUUUUGGUAAAGAACAUCUGAUUGUGUAUCACGUUUCUUGAAUUACAUCGUGGACUGAUUUUUGUACAAUUGAUGAUUUGAAUUAGGUACAAAAAUAAUUAGGGAUUAUUUUACAAAAUUAAUUGCUCAUAAUUUAUUUAUGGUAAAUUGAACAAAUUUUCUCAUCCCUAAUUGACCCUAAUUGAUUAUCGAUCUCUUAAUUGAUUAGUGAUUGGAUUUGGCCUAAGGAAAACAGUAUUGUGAAUGACUUUUACAAAUAUUGACUUUCCUUUUUACUCUGUGAUUGAUUGGUAUAUGAUUGAUUCAGUAAGAGAAAUUCUCUUAAUUGAUUAACUGAGAUAUUGUUUUACCAUUUUUAUGUUGGUUUAGUUUUACAAUACUCAGCCUAUAUAAACAAUUCUUUAAGUUCACAAGUUCUUAAGUUUUACAAUUACAAUUACCACUACUACUCUCUUAAACAAAGCAUCAGUUACUUUCAAUACAAAAAGCAAUUACGUACUUUCAAGAGUUCUCGGACUUUUCCUUCUAGGUUUAUGGAAAACAUCUUGCAUAUUUUGCUGUGUUGGGCUUUCUUUCUAUUUCUAUUUCUAUUUUACUACUGCUUGCCGGUAAGUCCCUUGUCGAUGUACUUACAUAUUAGAAAGCAUGUCUAUAGGACUAGUUUGAUUACCUUCUUAGCUCCCUUUACUCUGAUUUCACCACAUUAGAAGUCCAAAUUAGUGUCUUUUCUCUGUUUUCCGACAUUUGAGCUUAAUUUGUUGCUCAGUUCUAGCUGAAAUGUAGUGCAAGUAUUCUGAGUUGUGGCGUUUAACAAUCUUUGUAAGGAGGUAAUCGAGUUCCCUUUGCAAGUUAGUCUCAUAUUUUCCAGCUAUAGCAACAUUUCCAAUGAGUUCUGAGCUAGUGGUGGGGGGCAUAUUUGUGUAUAUUGCUUUUUUUGGGUGAAUUAGGACAAUUACUGCAUAUAGUGUAUAUCUACGUUGCGUCUGUAGUUUCAUGCAUUGUCUACCACCACUUGAAGCUUAAGUUCUGAUGUGACUUCCAGUUGUAUCUCCUGUCAAGUGUUGUGAACUUGUAAUGCAUUUUUUGUGCUUUUCAAUUAAAAAAGUUAUCAUUUCCCUUAUUUUCGUGAUUCAUUGACUAAAUUAAGCAGAUAUUUUCCUUGUCCAGCAGUCUACAAUGGAUCGUAGGAGUUUGCCGUGGAAGAAGAAAUCAUCAGAUAAGACAGCAAGCGAGAAACCUGCAGCUCUUAUAGUGGAGUCAGCCUCUGCCCCUUCAGAUUCAACUGAACCUAAGGUUGAUCAGGUGUGUGUGUUGGUACCUAUAUAAUUAAAAAGUAUAUUUUCCUUCUCUUAUAGUGGAGUCAUCAUCUGCCCCUUUAGAUUCAACUAGGAAUUUCCGUUUUCUUCUCAUUCUUUGUGGUCGUCAUUGCUAUUAGAUUGUCUAACCAUAAUUCUCUAUAGUUUAUCCUAUAAACAAUCUGACAAUAUGUUUACAUCUAUAACAAGGACUUUCAUGUUGACCUUUAAUUAUGAGAACUUGAAUAAAAGAAAUGCUGCGUAAUUUGGUCAAUACUAGCAAAGAACUUCUCCAUUUAUCUAAACUGUGAGGCUUACGUCUAUAGGUUGAGAUUGAUGGGUGGUAGUCUUUAAUAUUUACCCUCACAAAUUAUAAGUUCUAAUUUAGUUCUGUUAAUUUUGUUUCUCUCUUCAAUAUAAUGUGACUGGUGCUAGAAAGGAAAAGACAGUUUCAGUUUGGUACUUCAUCGAUUUUUUUUUUUACAAUAAUACGUUGUGAGAGAGCUUCAUUCAAUUUGUCUCGUCUUGGUGAUUUAUGUUUUGGUUUCCGUUAUAUUUCAGGGUAAACAGGAAAUCAAGAAACCUAAAUAUGUGCAAAUUUCCGUUGAAUCUUAUUCACAUUUGACUGGACUGGAGGAUCAAGUUAAGUCUCUUGAGGAACAAGUGAGUGGCUUAGAGGAUGAAGUCAAGGAUUUGAAUGAAAAGUUGGCUGCUGCACAGUCAGAAAUGACUAAUAAGGAAAACCUGGUAAAACAAUACGCUGAAGUUGCUGAAGAAGCCGUCUCAGGUGAUGUUCCUUAUUGACUUGUGUUUUUCUUGCAACAAGUGUUUUGCAACUUGGUACUGAAUUCUUUUAUUCACAUCUCUCUGUACAGGUUGGGAGAAGGCUGAGUCAGAAGCCGCGAAACUGAAAAAUCACCUGGAAUCCGUUACUCUUUUGAAGCUUACUGCUGAAGACAGGGCAUCACAUCUGGAUGGUGCACUGAAAUUACAUCUGGAUGGUGCACUGAAGGAGUGCAUGCGGCAGAUACGAAAUUUGAAAGAAGAACAUGAACAGAAGCUGCAUGAUGUGAUUCAGAAUAAAACCAAGCAGUUUGACAAAAUGAAGCAUGAGUUUGAAGCAAAAUUAGCUAACCUGGACCAACAGUUACUCAGGUCUGCAGCGGAAAAUUCUGCACUCUCAAGGUCUUUGCAGGAGCGUUCUAGCAUGGUGAUACAGCUCAGUGAAGAAAAAGCCCAAGCUGAAGCAGAAAUUGAGAUGUUGAAGAGCAAUAUCGAGUCAUGUGAAAGGGAAAUAAAUUCUCUGAAAUAUGAACUCCAAAUUAACUCAAAGGAACUAGAAAUUCGUAUUGAGGAGAAAAAUAUGAGCGUACGGUCUGCAGAAGUUGCAAACAAGCAACACCUGGAGGGAGUGAAGAAAGUUGCAAAAUUGGAAGCAGAGUGUCGGAGAUUACGUGGUCUUGUGCGGAAGAAGUUGCCUGGGCCUACAGCCUUGGCCCAGAUGAAGCUUGAGGUUGAGAGUUUGGGUAGAGAUUAUGGGGACAGCCGUGUAAAGAAAUCCCAAGGAGGAAGGCCCAGUUUGCCAGAUUUUUCAUUGGAUAGUGUGCAGAAGUUCCAUAAAGAGAAUGAGCAACUUACAGAACGCCUUUUGGCAAUGGAGGAGGAAACAAAGAUGUUGAAAGAAGCUUUGGCACACCGGAACAGUGAAUUACAGACAUCCAGGAGUAUUUGUGCAAAGACGGCUAGCAAGCUUCAAAAUUUGGAAGCACAGCUGCAAGCAAAUGCUGAACAGAAGAGCCGACAAAAGUCCACCAUUCGACGACAGCAUUCUGAGGGUUCCUUUACGCAUGAAACAAAUCACCUUCCAAGAUUGGCUUCCAUGUCCGAGGAUGGAAAUGACGAUAAUGUUAGUUGCUCUAGCUCUUGGACGACAGCAUUAAUGUCUGAACUCUCCCAUGUCAAGAAGGAGAAGAACUUUGACAUUUUUAGUCACCUGGAUCUCAUGGAUGACUUUUUGGAGAUGGAGAAAUUGGCUUAUCAGUCAAGUGACACAAAUGGAACAGUUUUGAUUCCUGAUAAUUCCAAAUAAUGCAAGAACCGAAACUACCUCCAUGCAUGUCACCACAAGCCCAGAUUCUCAGCUGAAAGAACAUAAUGAGCCAAGUAUAUCAGGAAAUCAAGAAUCUCACAAAGAGGAAGUGUUUUAUAACUGCUACAAGCAGUUUUUCUUUUUCUUUGUUUUGCUCCAUCUCGCUAAGUUCUGCUUCUGUGAUAGAAGUUUCAAUCAUAUUAAAAGAUUUGCAAAUUAAAAUUUUAUAAUAAGAGUAAAUGUUACGAAAAUAUGAUAUCUAGAUGACCUUUAAGUCUCACUAUGCAUACAGAACUUCAAAGAAUCAUGUAUGACCUUGCUUUGAAAUACUUGACUAGUUUUUUAUGCUGGGGACAUCAUUUAAAUAUCUAAAAGAAGAUUUUUCUUUUAUCAAUGCUCCGAUAAAAACAUGACAUAGUUUUCAGUUAACAUGGAGUUCCAUGAGGUCUUGUACAAUUGAAUCUGAAAUUCCUAAUUUUUCUGGUUGCCAGUCUUCACCCUCUGGAACCCCUCUCUAUUGUCUUAAUUAGUGAAUUAACUCACUUUUAGAUUGCAAAACAGCUUAUCAAUUGGUCGAAGGGUUCAACAUCUACUAUAUUUACAUAAAAACAAUUUUAAUCAUGUGUAAGUGUAAGCCAAUGGCUCGACAACCUAACCGCGAACCCAAUGGCUCAGCAACCUAGAAACUUUUAUGGUUGCCUAAGGAAAACAGUAUUGUGAAUGACUUUUACAAAUAUUGACUUUCCUUUUUACUCUGUGAUUGAUUGGUAUAUGAUUGAUUCAGUAAGAGAAAUUCUCUUAAUUGAUUAACUGAGAUAUUGUUUUACCAUUUUUAUGUUGGUUUAGUUUUACAAUACUCAGCCUAUAUAAACAAUUCUUUAAGUUCACAAGUUCUUAAGUUUUACAAUUACAAUUACCACUACUACUCUCUUAAACAAAGCAUCAGUUACUUUCAAUACAAAAAGCAAUUACGUACUUUCAAGAGUUCUCGGACUUUUCCUUCUAGGUUUAUGGAAAACAUCUUGCAUAUUUUGCUGUGUUGGGCUUUCUUUCUAUUUCUAUUUCUAUUUUACUACUGCUUGCCGGUAAGUCCCUUGUCGAUGACCUUACAUAUUAGAAAGCAUGUCUAUAGGACUAGUUUGAUUACCUUCUUAGCUCCCUUUACUCUGAUUUCACCACAUUAGAAGUCCAAAUUAGUGUCUUUUCUCUGUUUUCCGACAUUUGAGCUUAAUUUGUUGCUCAGUUCUAGCUGAAAUGUAGUGCAGGUAUUCUGAGUUGUGGCGUUUAACAAUCUUUGUAAGGAGGUAAUCGAGUUCCCUUUGCAAGUUAGUCUCAUAUUUUCCAGCUAUAGCAACAUUUCCAAUGAGUUCUGAGCUAGUGGUGGGGGGC
rnacentral:lncRNA from 1 species